UUUCUCGCGUGAGAACAGGGAAGCGUAGUGCUUCCUUCCUUCAACCGGCCACCACCGCGAGCCGCCGUCGUCACAAAAACAACGACCCUUCGUCGGACCAACACUGAGAAACCACCGCACCUCCGGAAGUCCACGCGUACUCCAGUCGGCGCAGCCACAGCGAUCACCACGUGAAUCUCUUCUAUUCAAAUCUCUGUUUUACUACACACUCAUUCGAUAUUGGAGUGGGAUUCUCACAUUUAUGGGAUUUUUCAUGUUCUUGCUGUUUUUCUUGUUUGGGCGCUUGCAGGUUAUAGGCCAUGAAUCACUUGGUUUCAAGGAGGAUUUGGCAUAUAGAGUGCCGUUGUUGAAUUUCUUAGUUUUUGAUUGCCUUACAGCUUUGUAGUGUGUUUUCUAGGCAUUUCUGGAUGUAAGUAAAGAGGGUAUUGGGGUCCUGCUGUUGGAGAUAUAUAUGCCUAUGUUCCAUUGUCAAUUAAAUACGAUAGAUUUUGUAGGCAUUGAAAUUACGUUUUGGGUCCAUUUUUGAUUAACAGAUAAAACCACAAAGGGGACAACCACGAUUCUGUAUAGUGAUCAAACAACCAUUCAUUCAUCUCCAAGCAUGUGUAAGGAAAGCAUACGCAUAAGCAGGUUCAAAGAGUUUNCAAGCAUGCAUAAGGAAACAGAGAGCUUAAGUGUAAGCAUACAAGGACUUACCUCCACAGCUCCAAACCUUUCCUUUUGGUUCCAUACUCUCUGGCUCCCUUAGACCUUGGAUUGCUAAAGUAACCUUGCAGGUNCUGGAAAGCUAUGCUGAAAGCGAAUGAUUUUCUUUCUCUUUGGUCGUGAGGUGUUCCUUCUUCCUAAGUCGUGAUGAUAGGGGAUGGUGAAACGUU
rnacentral:lncRNA from 1 species